rnacentral:rRNA from 1 species
AUACGAAGGGGGCUAGCGUUGUUCGGAAUUACUGGGCGUAAAGCGCACGUAGGCGGAUCGUUAAGUCGGGGGUGAAAUCCCGGGGCUCAACCCCGGAACUGCCUUCGAUACUGGCGAUCUAGAGUCCGGAAGAGGUGAGUGGAAUUCCGAGUGUAGAGGUGAAAUUCGUAGAUAUUCGGAGGAACACCAGUGGCGAAGGCGGCUCACUGGUCCGGUACUGACGCUGAGGUGCGAAAGCGUGGGGAGC